CUACGGGUCGCAGCAGUGGGGAAUAUUGCACAAUGGGCGCAAGCCUGAUGCAGCCAUGCCGCGUGUAUGAAGAAGGCCUUCGGGUUGUAAAGUACUUUCAGCGGGGAGGAAGGGAGUAAAGUUAAUACCUUUGCUCAUUGACGUUACCCGCAGAAGAGGCACCGGCUAACUCCGUGCCAGCAGCCGCGGUAAUACGGAGGGUGCAAGCGUUAAUCGGAAUUACUGGGCGUAAAGCGCACGCAGGCGGGUUGUUAAGUCAGAUGUGAAAUCCCCGGGCUCAACCUGGGAACUGCACCUGAUACUGGCAAGCUAGAGGCUCGUAGAGGGGGGUAGAAUUCCAGGUGUAGCGGUGAAAUGCGUAGAGAUCUGGAGGAAUACCGGUGGCGAAGGCGGCCCCCUGGACGAAAACUGACGCUCAGGUGCGAAAGCGUGGGGAGCAAACAGGAUUAGAUACCCGCGUAGUC
rnacentral:rRNA from 1 species